AUCACAAACCGCGGGAGCUCGCGCCAUGGCGGGCUGAGAGGGUGGCUGCCCCCGAGAAGGGGCCGGUGCCGCCGACCGCAGAACCUGUUCGGGUAAUUCCGACGUAGGGAGGCAUGCCUUGACGGCG
rnacentral:ncRNA from 1 species